rnacentral:rRNA from 1 species
UACGAAGGGGGCUAGCGUUGUUCGGAAUUACUGGGCGUAAAGGGCGCGUAGGCGGUCCCGUCAGUCCCUUGUGAAAUCCCCCGGCUCAACUGGGGAACUGCAAGGGAUACAGCGGGGCUUGAGUUCGGGAGAGGGAAGCGGAAUUCCGGGUGUAGCGGUGAAAUGCGUAGAUAUCUGGAGGAACACCGGUGGCGAAGGCGGCGAUCCUGGACCGGUAUUGACGCUGAGGCGCGAAAGCUAGGGGAGCAAACGGG